UACGUAGGGUGCAAGCGUUGUCCGGAAUUAUUGGGCGUAAAGAGCGUGUAGGCGGCCCGAUUAGUCCGCUGUGAAAGUCCAGGGCUCAACCCUGGAAUGCCGGUGGAUACUGUCGGGCUAGAGUCCGGAAGGGGCGAGUGGAAUUCCUGGUGUAGCGGUGAAAUGCGUAGAUAUCGGAAGGAACACCAGUGGCGAAAGCGACUCCUGGUCGAAUACUGACGUUCAUGUGCGAAAGCGUGGGGAGCAACAGGG
rnacentral:rRNA from 1 species